rnacentral:rRNA from 1 species
ACUACGGGAGGCAGCAGUGGGGAAUAUUGGGCAAUGGGCGCAAGCCUGACCCAGCAACGCCGCGUGAAGGAAGAAGGCUUUCGGGUUGUAAACUUCUUUUCUCAGGGACGAAGAAAGUGACGGUACCUGAGGAAUAAGCCACGGCUAACUACGUGCCAGCAGCCGCGGUAAUACGUAGGUGGCAAGCGUUAUCCGGAUUUAUUGGGUGUAAAGGGCGUGUAGGCGGGAGCGCAAGUCAGAUGUGAAAACUCAGGGCUCAACCCUGAGCCUGCAUUUGAAACUGUGUUUCUUGAGUGCUGGAGAGGCAAUCGGAAUUCCGGGUGUAGCGGUGAAAUGCGUAGAUAUACGGAGGAACACCAGUGGCGAAGGCGGAUUGCUGGACAGUAACUGACGCUGAGGCGCGAAAGCGUGGGGAGCAAACAGGAUUAGAUACCCCGGUAGUC